rnacentral:lncRNA from 8 species
AUGGGAUACGUUAUACUCCAUCCCUCCCCUCCAGCUCCCUCUUUAUUACUCCAUCCCUUCCCUCCAGCUCCCUCUUUAUUACUCCAUCCAUCCCUCCCCUCCAGCUCCCUCUUUAUUACUUCAUCCCUCCCCUCCAGCUCCCUCUUUAUUACUCCAUCCCUCCCCUCCAGCUCCUUCUUUAUUUCUCCAUCCCUCCCCUCCAGCUUCCUUUUUAUUUCUCCAUCCCUCCCCUCCAGCUCCCUCUUUAUUACUCCAUCCCUCCCCUCCAACUCCCUCUUUAUUACUCCAUCCCUUCCCUCCAGCUCCUUCUUUAUUACUCCAUCUCUCCCCCCAGCUCCCUCUUUUUUACUCCAUCCCUUCCCUCCAGCUCCCUCCUUAUUACUUCAUCCCUCCCCUCCAGCUCCCUCCUUAUUACUUCAUCCCUCCCCUCCAGCUCCCUCUUUUAUUACUCCAUCUCUCCCCUCCAGCUCCCUCUUUAUUACUCCAUCCCUCCCCUCCAGCUCCCUCUUUAUUACUCCAUCCCUCCCCUCCAGCUCCCUCUUUAUUACUCCAUCCCACCCCUCCAGCUCCCUCUUUUUUACUCCAUCUUUCCCCUCCCUCUUUAUUACUUCAUCCCACCCCUCCAGCUCCCUCUUUUUUACUCCAUCCCUUCCCUCCAGCUCCCUCCUUAUUACUUCAUCCCUCCCCUCCAGCUCCCUCUUUUUUAUCAUCCAUCCAUCCCUCCCCUCCAGCUCCCUCCUUAUUACUUCAUCCCACCCCUCCAGCUCCCUCCUUUUUACUCCAUCUCUUCCCUCUUGCUCCCUCCUUAUUACUUCAUCCCGCCAGCUCACUCUUUAUUACUCCAUCCCUUCCCUCCAGCUCCCUCCUUAUUACUCCAUCUCUCCCCUCCAGCUCCCUCUUUUUUACUCCUUCCCUCCAGCUCCCUCCUUAUUACUUCAUCCCUCCCCUCCAGCUCCCUCCUUGUUACGCCAUCCCUCCCCUCCAGCUCCCUCUUUUUUACUCCAUCCCUCCCCUCCAGCUCCCUCUUUUUUACUCCAUCCCUCCCCUCCAGCUCCCUCUUUAUUUCUCCAUCCCUCCCCUCCAGCUCCCUCUUUAUUUCUCCAUCCCUCCCCUCCAGUUCCUUCUUUAUUUCUCCAGCCCUCCCCUCCAGCUCCUUCUUUAUUACUCCAUCCCUCCCCUCCAACUCCCUCUUUAUUACUCCAUCCCUUCCCUCCAGCUCCUUCUUUAUUACUCCAUAUCUCCCCCCCAGCUCCCUCUUUUUUACUCCUUCCCUCCAGCUCCCUCCUUAUUACUUCAUCCCUCCAGCUCCCUCUUUAUUACUCCAUCCCUUCCCUCCAGCUCCCUCUUUAUUACUCCAUCUCUCCCCCCAGCUCUCUCUUUUUUACUCCAUCCCUUCCCUCCAGCUCCCUCUUUAUUACUCCAUCCCUCCCCUUCAGCUCGCUCUUUAUUACUCCAUCCCACCCCUCCAGCUCCCUCUUUUUUACUCCAUCUUUCCCCUCCCUCUUUAUUACUUCAUCCCACCCCUCCAGCUCCCUCUUUUUUACUCCUUCCCUCCAGCUCCCUCCUUAUUACUUCAUCCCUCCCCUCCAGCUCCCUCCUUGUUACGUCAUCCCUCCCCUCCAGCUCCCUCUUUUUUACUCCAUCCCACCCCUCCAGCUCCCUCUUUUUUACUCCAUCCCUCCCCUCCAGCUCCUUCUUUAUUUCUCCAUCCCUGCCCUCCAGCUCCCUCUUCAUUUCUCCAUCCCUCCCCUCCAGUUCCUUCUUUAUUUCUCCAGCCCUCCCCUCCAGCUCCUUCUUUAUUACUCCAUCCCUCCCCUCCAACUCCCUCUUUAUUACUCCAUCCCUUCCCUCCAGCUCCUUCUUUAUUACUCCAUAUCUCCCCCC